rnacentral:rRNA from 1 species
AUUGAACGCUGGCGGCAGGCCUAACACAUGCAAGUCGAGCGGGGUUUUCGGACCUAGCGGCGGACGGGUGAGUAAUGCGUAGGAAGCUGCCCGAUAGAGGGGGAUACCAGUUGGAAACGACUGUUAAUACCGUAUAAUGUCUACGGACCAAAGUGUGGGACCUUCGGGCCACAUGCUAUCGGAUGCGCCUACGUGGGAUUAGCUAGUUGGUGAGGUAAUGGCUCACCAAGGCGACGAUCUCUAGCUGGUUUGAGAGGAUGAUCAGCCACACUGGAACUGAGACACGGUCCAGACUCCUACGGGAGGCAGCAGUGGGGAAUAUUGGACAAUGGGCGCAAGCCUGAUCCAGCCAUGCCGCGUGUGUGAAGAAGGCCUUCGGGUUGUAAAGCACUUUCAGCGAGGAGGAAGGGUGGUGUGUUAAUAGCACAUCAUUUUGACGUUACUCGCAGAAGAAGCACCGGCUGACUCUGUGCCAGCCGCCGCCGUAAAAC